UCCGUAGGCGGUCAGGUAAGUCAGUGGUGAAAGCCCAUCGCUCAACGGUGGAGCGGCCAUUGAUACUGUCUGACUUGAAUUAUUAGGAAGUAACUAGAAUAUGUAGUGUAGCGGUGAAAUGCUUAGAGAUUACAUGGAAUACCAAUUGCGAAGGCAGGUUACUACUAAUAUAUUGACGCUGAUGGACGAAAGCGUGGGUAGCGAACA
rnacentral:rRNA from 1 species